AUCGCUUCUCGGCCUUUUGGCUAAGAUCAAGUGUAGUAUCUGUUCUUAUCAGUAGACACUUUUCACUGUUACAAAGUAACACAUUGGUAGGAUCCGAAAUCACGUGGUCAUCCAGCCUCC
rnacentral:snRNA from 1 species